rnacentral:misc_RNA from 1 species
GACGCACUCCUCAAGCUUGGCCAUGUCGGUUUCAUCAUCCCAGGGCUUGACAUCCAACAGAAUGGAAGACUUGGCGAUAAGUGCAGGCUUCUUUGCCUUCUUGGCGUUGUAAGCUGCAAGCCUCUCCUCCUUGAUCUUUGCGGCUUCCUCAUCCUCUUCCUCAUCGGAGCCAAACAGAUCGAUGUCAUCAUCGUCUUCAUCAGCAGCGGCAGGAGCUGCGGCAGUUGUGUCCUCCACGCCGGC